AUGAUUUCGGCAGCACAUAUGCUAAAAUUGGAAUGAUACGGAGAAGAUUAGCAUGACCCCUACACAAGGACGACACAUAACCAAUCAGUUCUCCACUAGCCAAUC